ACCACCUGCAAAGAGUACUUGAUGGAAAC
rnacentral:piRNA from 1 species